rnacentral:rRNA from 1 species
UGGGGAAUUUUGGACAAUGGGGGAAACCCUGAUGCAGCGACGCCGCGUGAGCGAUGAAGUAUUUCGGUAUGUAAAGCUCUAUCAGCAGGGAAGAAGAUGACGGUACCUGACUAAGAAGCCCCGGCUAACUACGUGCCAGCAGCCGCGGUAAUACGUAGGGGGCAAGCGUUAUCCGGAUUUACUGGGUGUAAAGGGAGCGUAGACGGCGGUGCAAGCCAGAUGUGAAAGCCCGGGGCUCAACCCCGGGACUGCAUUUGGAACUGUAUGGCUGGAGUGUCGGAGAGGCAGGCGGAAUUCCUAGUGUAGCGGUGAAAUGCGUAGAUAUUAGGAGGAACACCAGUGGCGAAGGCGGCCUGCUGGACGAUGACUGACGUUGAGGCUCGAAAGCGUGGGGAGCAAA